rnacentral:rRNA from 1 species
UACGUAGGGCGCAAGCGUUAUCCGGAAUUAUUGGGCGUAAAGAGCUCGUAGGCGGUUUGUCACGUCUGCUGUGAAAACUGGAGGCUCAACCUUCAGCCUGCAGUGGGUACGGGCAGACUAGAGUGCGGUAGGGGAGAUUGGAAUUCCUGGUGUAGCGGUGGAAUGCGCAGAUAUCAGGAGGAACACCGAUGGCGAAGGCAGAUCUCUGGGCCGUUACUGACGCUGAGGAGCGAAAGCGUGGGGAGCGAACAGG